rnacentral:snoRNA from 1 species
AAAAGAUAGUAGUUCAUAAGCAUGAUGAUUGGGUUUUCACGCGCAUGCGUGAGAUGUGCCUCCCUCAAACCUUGUUACGACAUCGGCACAUUACCCGUCUGACG